rnacentral:lncRNA from 1 species
GUACAUCAGUGCUUUCUGACUGAAAUGACUUUAGAAUAAUAAUUAUUGAUGCUAAUGCAGGGUGACAGCAGAAAUGAUGCAGUGGUGAACCUGGAGUGAGCACGCGUCAGGGUUUCCACGCCGCGGUCUGAGGUGCAGUGUCAGGAUACCCAGGAUGUUUGCUACAGCGGCCAGCGAGAGAGGCAGGACUGCAGACUUGUCCAGUCUCUUGUCAGAAGAGGAGGUGGAGGCAAGCCUAGGAAAACUGCUGUUUGCCAUAGCAAAGGACUACCAAUACACCAAGCUGCUCAUCACUGUUAAUAGGUGCUUGAAGGAAAAUUGCAGUUAUUUCAUGCAGCACUG